UGCAAGCACAGGUGGAAGGAAUUCACCUGUGGGACCAGAUGGGGCUGAGCCUGUCUCCACCCCUCCCUAACCUCAUUUAAGGUCUGGCAGGCCCAGAGGCAUUGUCUUUUUCUGGAGGCUGCCUCCUGUGGAUUGCUGAGUGAGCCCUGGUCCUUGGAAAAAAAGUGGCAGCAGAGAGCUGCAGCGCCCCCGAGUGCUGUAACGACUGCACAGAGAGACGUGCGGGUCUUCACGGGAACAGCAAGGAACCGAAAGCUGCAUUUCCUGGGAUGCCCCGG
ensembl:lncRNA